CUCCUACGGGAGGCAGCAGUGGGGAAUAUUGCACAAUGGGGGAAACCCUGAUGCAGCGACGCCGCGUGGGUGAAGAAGUACUUCGGUACGUAAAGCCCUAUCAGCAGGGAAGAAAAUGACGGUACCUGACCAAGAAGCCCCGGCUAACUACGUGCCAGCAGCCGCGGUAAUACGUAGAGGGCAAGCGUUAUCCGGAUUUACUGGGUGUAAAGGGAGCGUAGACGGCAGGGCAAGUCUGGAGUGAAAGGCGGGGGCUCAACCCCCGGACUGCUCUGGAAACUGCCAGGCU
rnacentral:rRNA from 1 species